UCGGGAAUUUUGCUCAAUGGGCGAAAGCCUGAAGCAGCAACGCCGCGUGAGGGAUGAAGGCCUUCGGGUCGUAAACCUCUUUUCUCAGGGACGAUGAUGACGGUACCUGAGGAAGAAGCCACGGCUAACUACGUGCCAGCAGCCGCGGUAAUACGUAGGUGGCAAGCGUUGUCCGGAUUUACUGGGCGUAAAGAGCGCGCAGGCGGCCUGAUCAGUCGAACGUGAAAGCCCCCGGCUUAACUGGGGAGGGUCGUUCGAUACUGUCAGGCUUGAAGGCAGGAGAGGGAAGCGGAAUUCCCGGUGUAGUGGUGAAAUGCGUAGAUAUCGGGAGGAACACCAGUGGCGAAGGCGGCUUUCUGGCCUGCUCUUGACGCUGAGGCGCGAAAGCCAGGGGAGCGAACGG
rnacentral:rRNA from 1 species